rnacentral:lncRNA from 1 species
GUGAUCGUCGACGGUAUUUCGAACGGCGUUAACGUUUUUCGUAAUUAUUUUUUUCUCACAAUUUAAGAAACGGACUGUUGUCUAAAAUGUCACGUUACCGUUGUUUUUUUUUUUCUUUCGAUCACUCUUAUUUUCGUGACUGGAACAGAUACUACCUGCUUUUGGUUUUCAAACGGCAACCUGUAUUUACAAAACUCCAUAAAUAUACCGAGUAUAAACACAUAUUUCGGUGUUGACAUUUUUGAUUUCCGUCGACCGGUUGACGAAUGGAUUUAAUAUGCUAACCCGUCUAUUUACGGCAUUUCCGAUGAAGAUCGCGGUUUGAAAAUUUUAAGUAUAUAAUCGGUUCACCUCUCCCUCUUUCAAAAAAAAAAAAAAAAUUAAAGGCGCCUAAAAAAACGGCGAUGUAACAUUUAAGAACCACUCGUUUCUUAGAAUAAUCAUAUUAUCGUAUUUGCGGACACCCUGUGUUCGAAAACUUGAAUAGUUUACAACCUUACGCUCUCCGUUUUACAGUGUACACGGAUCCACGUAUUCAACAGACGUUAGCAUUUGUAAAACCGUGAACCGGAAAAAUCCGUGUACACGUGUAAUCAUUCACGGUUACACGUGAACACGGAUAACGGAUUCGUUUUUCGCGGACAAGUUUUUCGUUCACGCGACGUUCACGGACUUCGUGGAUUUAAUCGAGACCUCGUGUUACGUGCGUAGCUUUUUAUAUUAUUCGGAUUUUCGCCUCGCAAAAGCCGCACCGUAUUAUAUUUUUCGUUGCAGUUAAAGACCGUCUACGGUAAACGGUAUUUUAUGAUUGUUAAGUAUAUUUCAGGGACGUUUAUAUAAUAAUGUUUCAUGCACCGUUCAGCGCGGUUUUGUUGUGUCGUUAAGAAAGUGGAAUUUAUUGAAUGCGUACUGCAGUAGCACUCGAAUAAACGCGUACGGGGCAAUGCAGUUUAAAACAGUUUACAGCGUACACCUAGCAGCUAGUACAGAAACAGACGGCUGAUAAUUGUGUUCGUUCGGUUUUAAUUUCCCCGUUGAAAAUCAAUCGAAAUACUCAAUUUUCAGAACCCGAGCGAAGACUGCGCUAAGAAAUAUAUUAUAUAUCGCAGGAUCUAGCCGUGUUUUUUUUUUUUUCAAAACGUAUAAUAUGGCCCGCGCACGAUUCGAAAAAGGAAACGAAAUUAUCCGUACGCGACUCUCACGACGACGAUCGCUUUAUAACACCGGGAAAUCGAUAAAUCCGACGGAUAACAGUGCGCAGCGUAUACGUAUAUAAUAAAUAAUCCGGAAUAAAAUCACGGGGUAGGUAUAUUAUUAUAACAGUCUGUGUAUAACAGGCACGGAAAAAAAAAAACCUACUUUGUGUUUUUUUGUCCAACAAAUAAUAAUUAACUUUUCUAAUAUACCUACGCGCGAUUAUAUUAGUUUUUAGUGGGCCCAUAUAAUAAUAUGUUGUUUGUUUCUUUUUUUUUUUUUUUGCGCCCCCGAGUGCGAACGGGGUUUUUUUUCCACGUCACUAAAAGUUACGGCUUUCUACCUCCCCGGGGGAUAUAAAUUAUAUUAGGCGAAUUUAAAUUAUAAUUACUCUUGUGCCGUUAUCUUUUCUAGAGCUAAAACUUUGAUUAACGGCACGGCGGCGGUGGCGUAGGUAUACCUACCUAGUAAAGGGCCGAACCGAAUAAACUUCUCGCCUAUAAGAUUAAAGCGUUACAUUUUUUUUUUCAUUUUUUUUUUUUUUUUUUUUCAGACGACUAAAUAAUUGUCCACGGUUUUUGUCCGUUUUGCGCACGGUUCGAAUAAAACAACGAAAAUCCUGCGACGUUAUCGUUUUCGGUACGUAGGCGGGGAUAGAAAACUAUCGCACAAUCGAAAAAAGAUUACGUCAUAUUGUUUAUGCUGUCAAAUAUAUUUUUUUCUCAAAAUUUUCUAAUCGUUUGUUUUUUUGGUUUUUUUCCUAUAGCCGCGCGAAAAUAAAUUAUUUUUUCCUGGGAUUUUGGUCGUUGUUUUUUUUUUUUUUUUUAUCGCGUAAAUCGGGUCGAUUGACCUCCGGGGCAUUUUAACCUUAAAGUUCCCACGUCCUAACGGACACACACCGCACAGUAAAGUCGUGUAACAAAACAUUAUAUUUAAUACGGAACAAAAUAACUCUCGCCGCUGUUUGGGUGGGGAGGGGAUGUCCGAAAUUUUAGGGGAAGGUUCGCGGAGCUCUUUUUUAAAAGACGGGGAGCGGACGUCUUCUGAAACAAAAAACAAACGCUCGGGCCUCGCCUAUUUAGCAUAGUACAGUUCUGUAACGUUCCCCGAGGACCUAUAAUAUAUUGUGUCGUGUAAUAAUAAUUCGACGGGGAAACAAAAUAAUCAUUAUAAUAUAUCCGUUUGAACCGUGCGAAUGUUUUACCGGUCUUCCGGUAAAACAUUCGCGCGAGCGAAAAAACCAAAAACGGAGCAGUCGUUAUUGUCGCGGCGAUCAUUAGCCGGUCGCUUAACAUAAUAAUAACAUUAUGUGUCCGGACCACGGACUAAGAUGUAAUGGACUGGUCACGAGCAGUUUAUCAGUGGCUACAAAUUAUAAUAAGAGACAAGUGCGGGGACGGCAAUUAUGCAGACCAACAAUUUUCGUACGCCAUCCGUUGACUAACAGUUAGCGUAUAAUAUUAUUAACUAUUGUUAAUUUCCGAGCUUUUGGAUUAAAUUUUGCUAGCUGAAAUAAAG